GGGUUCUACCGUUGGUCAGGCUAUAGUCUGUACUGGCGUGUGGAAUUUCUACCUUCUGGGGAACUAUCAUGUUAUUAAUUUAGCGUGGUAGGAAACCAGAACCUUUACCUUGAAAAAAUUAGAGUGUUCAAAGCAGGCAAUCGAGCCUUGAAUACUUCAGCAUGGGAUAAUGGAACAGGA
rnacentral:rRNA from 1 species